GCGGUGCCUUCCGAGUUCCCUGGAACGGGACGCCUUAGAGGGUGAGAGCCCCGUACGGUUGGACACCAAGCCUCUGUGAAGCUCCUUCGACGAGUCGAGUAGUUUGGGAAUGCUGCUCUAAAUGGGAGGUAAAUUUCUUCUAAAGCUAAAUAUUGGCCAGAGACCGAUAGCGCACAAGUAGAGUGAUCGAAAGAUGAAAAGCACUUUGAAAAGAGGGUUAAAAAGCACGUGAAAUUGUUGAAAGGGAAGCGUUUGCGACCAGACCUCUUCCCGGCGGAUCAUCCGGUGUUCUCACCGGUGCACUUCGCCUGGUCUAGGCCAGCAUCGGUUUCCGCGGGGGGAGAAAAGCUCGGGGAACGUAGCUCCCUCGGGAGUGUUAUAGCCCCUUGCAUAAUACC
rnacentral:rRNA from 1 species